GCCCGUGCCCUCCAGCAUCCUCGCCAGCAAGGCUUGAAGGGCACGACAGAGCGGCCAGCACAAGAAUAAGCAGGGACAGGGACAUGGCUGGGAAGAUCUGCCUUCAGAUCGAUGAUAAACUUCAAUCGUAAGCCAAAAAGUACUUCACAACCCCCCUGAUGUCCCACAUGGUGGACUUCAGUGCAUAAAGGAUUUUGGCUCAACCCAGUGGGCUGCGUCAGAGUGUUUGCCACCAGGAGUGCGGUUGGAGCAUGCUGUGGCAUGAGCCCAGGAGAUGGUCUCUGCGAAACGUGGGCUGCACCAAACGCACCGGGGCAAAUGGUGUCAGCAUGUACAGUGAGCCUUCCUCACCCCUCCUCAGGGAAAUCGCACCAGUUUUGGUUUCAGUUCGUUGAACAGGAUCUUUGCUAAAAACAAACCUCCUGGAGAAAACAUCUCCAGGUCUGAAUCAAAUCCUCCAUUUGCUGCUAAAAAUACUGUCAAUGAAUGGAAGAAUUCAUGAAUUCUCCCAGGGAAAAGAAAAGAUGAUCCCAUUAACCUACAUUACAGCCAUCACCAUUAAGGAGAUACCAUUAUCCUGCAGUUCCCACACUGUCUUGUCGGAGAUGCUACAGUUAUCCCUAUAAUUGUGUAGUAAGUCCUGGCAAAUGUUGGCUUUUCAACAGGCAGUACUGCAGCCAAGUACUUUGUCCGUUUAUAAGGCCCGAUCCGUUUAGCCUUGCAUAAGCAUUUGGCUCUUCAGGCAAAAGCCACGCUCAAACCAUGCUUUGGAUGAGAGCUCCAGAAGAGGAUUGAGUCCCCCGCCAUCUCAAAUUAUAGGAUUUUACUGCCUUACAAGGUCACGAGCAGUCAUAAUCGAUCAAUACAGAGAAUGAUGCAAGUAUCAAGAAUUUUAACGACAUAAUAUCGUGUUGUAGAAGUUGUUGUUUCACUUUCUAAAGGAACAUGUAUGCUUUCAGUGGCUGUUCUUCCCACAUUUAUUGAUACUCAGCCACCAAAGUGAGAGUGCUAAUGAGUGACAAUAUUUGAGGCUGCCCUGAGCAGAUCCUGCGUGGAGGCUCAGUGACCUCUCCUCUCUCAGGAGGGUGGUCUCUUCAGGUCACUGUUCAGGUCAUUUCUACAGCAGAUGUUGCCUGCUAUAAAAGACGGGAGGGCUGGUCUGUGUGCAUGAGGUGGCCUGAUGUCAUCUUUCAGGAUGGUGCCCUCAUGGAAACUGAGUAAAACUCUCUGGAGGAGCUUUCCUAAGACUCGGGUUGCCUGAGGAGAGAUGACUGUGAUGGCUGCCAAACUGAUUUGAGGCGGGUUGAUGCAGAGGAGGUGACUGCUGGUGCCCAUGUCUGGUGUAGACUACUCUGCUCCUUGGUGAACAGCCCUAAAGCCAUAGAUUUCAUCUGAUCUUUGCAAAGGCUAACAUCUGUCUGCUGUCAUUUUAGUCCUUAAUGUAUGAGAGGCAAUGGCUCUAAGUGUUGCAAGAUCUGUCUACUGCCCUGGGAUAUAAUUAACUUCAAAAAAAAAAAAAAAAAAGAGGAUGCCUGUAUGAAGAAAACAACCCCACCUGACAACUUUGAUGGAAGAAAUGGAAGAGCCUUCUCCCUUUGACGGCUCCGGAGCCGCUGGUGCAUCAGGCAUUCUCACACUGCUGACCCGACCUCUUUAAUCCUGGCUUUCCUGAAGGAAAAGCUGAUCCAUCAGGCCUCCUGUAUCUAAAAUGGGAUGAAAGGAAGAGAUGGACCUAUUUCUACGCUGGUGUUUCUCAGAUUCAGAAGAGCAGCAUCUGCUGGGGACUUCAAAGCCAGCAAGACUUCACCUGUGUAAAUCUGGCAGAAUUUGGGGGUUUGUGGCCAGAGAAGGAAAACCAGUAAUGCUCUUCUCUUUCUGUUCAAACCCAGAAGAGUUUCUUCCAAGCGUUAAGACUGUGGGACAGCUGAUGUCAACCAGGUUCAGAGAAACAACAUUGGCUUUGCUGAGAA